rnacentral:rRNA from 1 species
UACGUAGGGGGCAAGCGUUGUCCGGAUUUAUUGGGCGUAAAGAGCGUGUAGGCGGCCAUACAGGUCCGUUGUGAAAACUCGAGGCUCAACCUCGAGACGCCGAUGGAAACCGUAUGGCUAGAGUCCGGAAGAGGAGAGUGGAAUUCCUGGUGUAGCGGUGAAAUGCGCAGAUAUCAGGAAGAACACCCGUGGCUAAGGCGGCUCUCUAGUACGGUACUGACGCUGAGACGCGAAAGCGUGGGGAGCGAACAGG